rnacentral:rRNA from 1 species
AUUGAACGCUGGCGGCAGGCUUAACACAUGCUAGUCGAACGAGUGGCGGACGGGUGAGUAAUGCUUGGGAAUCUAGCUUAUGGAGGGGGAUAAAUAAGGGAAAAUGUAGCUAAUACCGCGUACCAUAGGAUGAGCCCAAGUGGGAUUAGGUAGUUGGUGAGGUAAAGGCUCACCAAGCCGACGAUCUCUAGCUGGUCUGAGAGGAUGACCAGUCACAUUGGGACGGAGACACGUCCCUGACUCCUACGGGAGGCAGCAGUGGGGAAUAUUGCGCAAUGGGGGCAACCCUGACGCAGCCAUGCCGCGUGAAUGAAGAAGGCCUUCGGGUUGUAAAGUACUUUCAGUCGGGAUGCGUUACCGACAGAAGAAGCACCGGCUAACUCCGUGCCAGCCGCCGCGGUAAUUC